rnacentral:rRNA from 1 species
CGCGGCCUAUCAGCUUGUUGGUGAGGUAAUGGCUUACCAAGGCGACGACGGGUAGCCGGCCUGAGAGGGCGACCGGCCACACUGGGACUGAGACACGGCCCAGACUCCUACGGGAGGCAGUAGUGGGGAAUAUUGCACAAUGGGCGAAAGCCUGAUGCAGCGACGCCGCGUGAGGGAUGACGGCCUUCGGGUUGUAAACCUCUUUCAGCAGGGAAGAAGCGAAAGUGACGGUACCUGCAGAAGAAGCGCCGGCUAACUACGUGCCAGCAGCCGCGGUAAUACGUAGGGCGCAAGCGUUGUCCGGAAUUAUUGGGCGUAAAGAGCUCGUAGGCGGCUUGUCACGUCGGGUGUGAAAGCCCGGGGCUUAACCCCGGGUCUGCAUUCGAUACGGGCUAGCUAGAGUGUGGUAGGGGAGAUCGGAAUUCCUGGUGUAGCGGUGAAAUGCGCAGAUAUCAGGAGGAACACCGGUGGCGAAGGCGGAUCUCUGGGCCAUUACUGACGCUGAGGAGCGAAAGCGUGGGGAGCGAACAGGAUUAGAUACCCUGGUAGUCCACGCCGUAAACGGUGGGAACUAGGUGUUGGCGACAUUCCACGUCGUCGGUGCCGCAGCUAACGCAUUAAGUUCCCCGCCUGGGGAGUACGG